rnacentral:rRNA from 1 species
GACGAACGCUGGCGGCGUGCUUAACACAUGCAAGUCGAACGAUGAAGCCUAGCUUGCUAGGUGGAUUAGUGGCGAACGGGUGAGUAAUACGUGAGUAACCUACCUUUAACUCUGGGAUAAGCCUGGGAAACUGGGUCUAAUACCGGAUACGACCAAUCUCCGCAUGGGGUGUUGGUGGAAAGCGUUAUGUAGUGGUUAUAGAUGGGCUCACGGCCUAUCAGCUUGUUGGUGAGGUAACGGCUCACCAAGGCGACGACGGGUAGCCGGCCUGAGAGGGUGACCGGCCACACUGGGACUGAGACACGGCCCAGACUCCUACGGGAGGCAGCAGUGGGGAAUAUUGCACAAUGGGCGCAAGCCUGAUGCAGCGACGCCGCGUGAGGGAUGACGGCCUUCGGGUUGUAAACCUCUGUCAGCAGGGAAGAAGAGAAAUUGACGGUACCUGCAGAGAAAGCGCCGGCUAACUACGUG